CGUAUGGGCUUACCUUUUAUGAGCUGCUAACAACCGUGUUUUUCAAAAUAUGAUAUCACACUUUCAUCAUAUGAUAGAUUUUGAGUGGGAUGGAAAUUUUUAAGGUAUUUAUUUUUAGGUGAUCUAUUAUCGGUCGAAGUUUCCACAUUUUGUCUUCUUAAAUCAAUGUCAACAGCCGAAAGUGUGGGUGUUACCUUCCUUAGAUUUGAUGAGCUGUACGUUGGGUAAGGUGUUGUCUCAACUGAGCAAAUCGCAUUUGUUUCUUUAUCAGUUCGACUUUAGCUGAUCGAGGCACAAAUUAUCUGGGAUUCCUCCUGCAUCAUCAUCACCGUGUGUAUCGCCAUUAUUCUCUGGGGGUUAAAUAAAUAUUUUGCUAUUUCUUCAUCACUAUCACUUUCCAGACUUUCAAUAAAGUGUAAAAGUUAAAAGUUAUUUUUAUACUCUCGCAACAAAGUCGCGUUGGAAACAAGCAUAUUAUGCAGCGACCGUUAUUCGCCAAAUGCAACGAAUGGCACUCAGCAGUAAUAGUGGAUGUAGUAGUAGUAAGAGUAAUAUACUACCAACGGGAAAUGUAGUAUGUAGCGGCAGCGUUGUGACGUCAGAAGAAGCUGAAAGACUUAUCAGCAGUAAUAGUGAGGAGGCAAUUCGCAGAAAAAAUGUGAACUCAAGUUCCAACAGCAGCAGCUCUCCACAUGAGCUCUCAACUGAUUACAAUGUAUCUAUUGCCAAUGAACGCAAAGAUAACCAACCAUUGGGAAGUAAUAAUUGUAAAUGUAGCUCUCCUGCUUGUGUAAAUGGCAGUGAAACACACUUGUAAGCCUUUCCAAAAUAAAGGGAGAUACAAUCACUUA